GAUUAAAUAAAGAAUAUAAUGAACAGUGAGGAGUAGAGAGAGAGAUGUGUCGGUGGUUCUUAUUGGUGGUGGUGAGCACAGCAUUUGUACAUAUAGGUUUUCAAUAGCUCUCUGAGUUCGAAGUCGCCUCCCUCUUAAUCUCUCUUGAGUCUCUGUAAAAACAUUUCUUUGUGUCAUCCUUAUUAAUUCUCGAGAGAGAGACGAGAGUGCAGGUCUGGCAGGGAUAAGGAGCAGCACAGCAGCAGUUAGAGUGAGCGGCGGGAAAAGGAAAGGAAGAAAGAAAGUAAAAGUGAUAAAAGAAAGGUUGAUGGAUUUUUGGGACAAGAUGAUCUUCCCUGUCCGCCGUGUUUGGCUUGCCGUCUCUACUCGUGUCAAGGAUCGCAAAAAUGGUGAUGGGCUUUUGAAGCUUCACGAUGAUGUACAAACAUGUGGGUAUCAAGAUGUGCAAGUGAUGUGGCAGAUGCUGAGUGGAGACAGAGACAACCACCCGCCGGCCAAACGCAAGCACCAAAGACAUAGACCCUUCCGGAGAAUUUUCGAGUGGUCUUCUAACAAUAAUAGUAGUAAAACCUCACCGCUCUCUUCAAAUCAUGCAUGCGCAUAAAAACAAUGAGACUCACGGGACCCCAAUCAGAUGCUACAUAUAAUAAUAAUGUGUUGCUGCCGCUGCUGCUGUUCAGCAUCUCACAUUAUUGGCAUCAUAUUUUACAGCCAAAUUGUUGCCAACACUUGCAGUGGCACACUACUGUUGUAGGUGUCAAUCGCAGUAUAAGAUGGAUGAAAUAUGACACUACGUAUGUGUAAAUAUAAAUAAUAUUUUCCCUGAAAAAUGAAAGAAAUUAAGAGCCUCCCUAGUCCCUGUAUAAUGUGUACUUGUGGCGAAAAUAACAUGCAUCAUAUAUUACGUACGUGAUGGUACGAGAAAGCCUAUCAAGCCAUAGAGUUCACAAUAUUGUUGGCUUGAUGAUCUUCAAGGAUGCCGUGAACUUCCAACCUGAAUUGACAUUAUAUAUGAUUCAAGGGAUUAAGAUUAUUGUUUUGCGGA